AAAAGCUCGUAGUUGGAUUUCUGCCGAGGACGACCGGUCCGCCCUCUGGGUGAGCAUCUGGUUCGGCUUGGGCAUCUUCUUGGAGAACGUAGCUGCACUUGACUGUGUGGUGCGGUAUCCAGGACUUUUACUUUGAGGAAAUUAGAGUGUUUCAAGCAGGCACACGCCUUGAAUACGUUAGCAUGGAAUAAUAAGAUAGGACCCCAGUUCUAUUUUGUUGGUUUCUAGAGCUGAGGUAAUGAUUAAUAGGGAUAGUUGGGGGCAUUCGUAUUUAACUGUCAGAGGUGAAAUUCUCGGAUUUGUUAAAGACGGACUACUGCGAAAGCAUUUGCCAAGGAUGUUUUCUUUGAUCAAGAACGAAAGUUAGGGGAUCGAAGACGAUCAGAUACCGUCCUAGUCUUAACCAUAAACUAUGCCGACUAGAGAUUGGGGGUCGUUAUCUAUACGACUCCCUCAGCACCUUAUGAGAAAUCAAAGUCUUUGGGUUCCGGGGGGAGUAUGGUCGCAAGGCUGAAACUUAAAGGAAUUGACGGAAGGGCACCACCAGGAGUGGAGCCUGCGGCUUAAUUUGACUCAACAC
rnacentral:rRNA from 1 species